GAGACGGUUAAGGUUCCUUCUUGCUUUUGCUACCUUGUGCGCACCACGUUGUUUCUCCUCGGCGAGCCCUGUUGUGUUUGUCAUCCCAGCCUUGGAUCCAGCCAAUUAUGGACUGAAACCUCUAUGAACUAUAAAAAUGGUUGACUGCAGGUAACUGAAGAUGACUCAACAUGAUACAUUUUUAUGAACAAAUCAUUAGAAGGGUCUUGCUCCGCAGUUCCGAUAAGCCAUGAAUUUGUGAUCCUCCUGCCUCAGCUUCCAAGUGCUAUAAGUAUAGUUUGCAUCAUCACACUCAGCUUUUUGUUGAGCUCUUUGGAUGGAAAUUCUUACAUGUUGGACAACUUUUGCCGCUUUUGAUCACCUGGAAAUAUGUUCAAUUUACUGCCAUUAUCCUUUUCCAAAUCAUGAACACAGGCAAGAGCACAGGACUGGAGAACAGAGUGACAAGCAGAUCACAGCAGAUUUCUCUGUGUGUUAGUGUGGAUAAACACUUAUGUAUAUGUACUAACUCACAUUUCACCAAAUUGGCUUGACUUUAUCAACAUUUUCUUUCAAAUUUAUUACUUGCAAACAUUUUGGUAAAAUGUUCAUGCAUUAUUUCUCCUGAGAUGUGAUGACUGGACCAGUACUUCUUACAUGUACCCCUCCGUGAUUCAACUACUACCUGUGGAAAACAACAAGCAAGCAAACCAGCAAACAAACCAGUGAAGCAACCAAGUAACUGGCUACAAUUGCUUAGUGAAAAGAGAACCAAAAGUCUAUGUCAUUAGCUACUUAUUAAUCUUUGGGCAAGUUACUUUAUUCUUAAAUCUCACAUUUCUUGUAAAAUCAAGAUAAGAAAAAUUCCACAGCUAAAAGCAUUGGUGCUAUGGACUGUAAAUGUCUUUGAAUAUUUUGACCAAACACUUUAAAAGAGAUGGUGAAUAUCUUUCAAAAUCAACUUUCUACCAGGAUUUUCAAACUUCAAAAUGCACCAGCAUUAUCCAGAGACUUACUAAAACACAGAUGGCUGGUAACCCAGAAUUUCUGAUUAAAUAGGUCUGCCAAGAAUCAUCCUGUCUUACAAUUUCUUAACUCUUUUUGAUGUUGCUGGCAGGUGCACUGUACUUGGGGAACCACUGGGGAGAUGUGGAGAACAGUUAUAUGUAGACUACGAAGGACAGUGAAAGAAAUGGAUACCUUGACUAAGAUACUGACUGGUGACUGAUCAGAUAAGGAACAAGAAAGCGUGGCUGUGUGUGGCUCAGUGGCAGAAGCAUGCCUAGCUCAUGGCAUGUGUCUUGAUCCCAACAGCAGGGGCAAGAGGAGGAAGAGGUUUUUGGUUCUAAGUUCAGAUUUGAAAGACAUGAUGCUCAGAGUGUGCAGGACCACCAGAGGACACAGAUGACUUUCACAAGGUGGGUAUAGCCUUGUGGGGUGAUACUGGUCCCAUUAAGGACAAGUUUUCUAGCUUUAGAAAUAGAAAUGUAAGUCAAUUCAUUUUUCCCCUCUAAAUAAGUAGGUAUUAAUUUGCAUAACAUAGGCCUUGUGAGGUUAUGAUUUAGACACAAACUAGCUUUAUGCCCUGCCUUUCCUUCAUAAAAAAUAAAGGGUUGCAGGUACUCAUCUUGUGAAACAGAAUUGCUCCAACCUCUCAUCAAUAACAGAAUGCAAUGGCAGGAGAGGGUGGAAGAAUGACCCGAUGCUGUAGGUCCUUCUUUCUUGUGGUCAAGAGAGUGAGACCCACCCUCUCUCUCUGAGUGAUAUCAAGCAUAACUGUAGCACUGCAAUGGGAGUAGCUCCUGUUGCCAACUCCACUGAACAAAGAUCCACUGGAGAUUGUAUUUAUGA